UUGGGUUUAAAGGGUGCGUAGGCGGCCUGUUAAGUCAGCGGUGAAAUCUAGGGGCUUAACUCCUAAAUUGCCAUUGAUACUGGUGGGCUUGAGUGUAGAUGAGGUAGGCGGAAUGCGUGGUGUAGCGGUGGAAUGCAUAGAUAUCACGCAGAACUCCAAUUGCGAAGGCAGCUUACUAAGGUACAACUGACGCUGAAGCACGAAAGCGUGGGUAUCAAACAGGAUUAGAUACCCUGGUAGUCCACGCAGUAAACGAUGAUAACUGGGCGUAUGCGAUAUACAGUAUGCUCCUAAGCGAAAGCGUUAAGUUAUCCACCUGGGGAGUACGCCGGCAACGGUGAAACUCAAAGGAAUUGACGGGGGCCCGCACAAGCGGAGGAACAUGUGGUUUAAUUCGAUGAUACGCGAGGAACCUUACCCGGGAUUGAAAUGUAGAUGACAGGCGGUGAAAGCUGCUCUCCCUUCGGGGCAUCUAUGUAGGUGCUGCAUGGUUGUCGUCAGCUCGUGUCGUGA
rnacentral:rRNA from 1 species